GAGCGGGGCCCCUUCCCUCCCUCCUUCGUCUCCCUCCAGCCGCACACGCACACACACCCCCCACUGCCACCCACCCAUGACAUCUCACUCCGCCAGGAUCUCCCACGGAUAAACAAAAAGAAACAAGGAGACUCGCCAUCCCCGUGAGCGAAUCCGCCACGCGCCACCGCCAGUCGCUCUCUCUCUCUCUGGUGGGCGGCCGGGGAGGGAGAUGCGCCCCUACAAAGCCCCCCCGCCCCCCCGCUCCCGCCACUGACCGCCCCACCCACACCCCCGCUCACGCCGGCCCGCGGCGUGACGAGAUGGCCGUCUGCUCCGGCGGGCUCGUGCCGCCGCCCUUCGAUNNNNN
rnacentral:lncRNA from 1 species